AUUGAACGCUGGCGGCAGGCCUAAUACAUGCAAGUCGAACGGAAACAGGAAGCACCUUGCUGCCUUGCUGUAGCGUGGCGGACGGGUGUGUAAUGUGUGGGAAACUGCUCGAUGGCGGGGGUAAACUCCUGGAAACGGAAGCUAAUACCGCAUAACGAUGCAAGAGCAUAGAGCAGGAGUUUAGGGCGUCUUUCCUUCGGCUUUGACAUGAUGGCGUUUGGGAUUAGCUAGUAGGUAGGGUAACGGCUCACCUAGGCGACGAUCCGUAGCUGAUCUGAGAGGGUGACCGGCCACACUGGAACUGAGACACGGUCCAGACUCCUACGGGAGGCAGCAGUGGGGAAUAUUGCACAAUGGGCGCAAGCCUGAUGCAGCCAUGCCGCGUGUAUGAAGAAGGCCUUCGGAUUGUAAAGUUCCGUCAGCGGGGAAGAAGAGAGUAAUAUUAAUACCUGUACUCAUUGACGUUACCCACAGAGAAAGCACCGGCUAACUCCGUG
rnacentral:rRNA from 1 species